GUAGGUGGCAAGCGUUGUCCGGAAUUAUUGGGCGUAAAGCGCGCGCAGGCGGUCCUUUAAGUCUGAUGUGAAAGCCCACGGCUCAACCGUGGAGGGUCAUUGGAAACUGGGGGACUUGAGUACAGAAGAGGAAAGCGGAAUUCCAAGUGUAGCGGUGAAAUGCGUAGAGAUUUGGAGGAACACCAGUGGCGAAGGCGGCUUUCUGGUCUGUAACUGACGCUGAGGCGCGAAAGCGUGGGGAGCACACAGGGAUUAGAUACCCUGGUAGUCCACGCCGUAAACGAUGAGUGCUAAGUGUUAGGGGGUUUCCCGCCCCUUAGUGCUGCAGCUAACGCAUUAAGCACUCCGCCUGGGGAGUACGGCCGCAAGGCUG
rnacentral:rRNA from 1 species